AUACUUCAGUAGUUAGUUCACGUGUUAAAAGUGGAAAGAUACAGAGAAGAUUGGAAGGGCCUCUGCACAAUUAUAAAACACUUAUUAGGAAACAUUCUAUAUUUUA